GGAAUCCCGAAGCGGGAAUUUCGGGCACGGCGAGCCCGAGUCGGGCAGGAGGAUCCCGAAUCGAGGCGAUAUUAAUGCGUCGCGCGCGGUGCUGCCUCGGCCGAACGCGGUGCUGCCUCUGCCCUUCUUCCUCCUUCAGCCUCACAGUUCAUCUGCUUUCUCUCUCUCGUUUGCUCUUAGGCCAGCAGCGUUUUCUCUCAUUGCUGAGCAAUUUAUCCAGCCAUUUGCUAUAGUUUGACCACCAAAAGCUGUAGAAUCAUCCGAUCUAUACAUGGGUUAGUUUUUGAAGCGUUUUGGUGGAGGUGCUGUUGGUGGUGGUGGUGGUGGAGGAGCUGCUGGUGGUGGUGGUGGAGGAGCUGGUGGUGGUGCUGUUGGUGGUGUUGUUGCUAUUGUUGCAGCUGUUGCGUGGUGGACGAGCUGAGCUGCUGACGGAGGUGUUUGGCACGCUUCAAGGAUAUGGCGGCUCGAUCGUUGCUCGAUCCACUUAUUGAUCAGAAACAUCGUGCAUCGCACUUCGAGGCUGACCCGCAGAGCAUGGAGCCACUGCAGACCCGUACUCCAAAGAAGAACUGGAUGAUACACCCUCAAUGGGAAGACAGGUUGAAGUGGGCAGGACUACUACCUUUCGCUCGAUUAGUGGAGGCCCGAGAUCACAUUUCGCGCGUGAACUACGAUGCUGCUUUGAUCACCUGCUUAGUGGAUCGAUGGAGGCCCGAGACCCACACGUUCCACUUUCGCUGGGGUGAGAUGGCGCCUACUCUACAGGACGUGUCUAUGUUGCUGGGCCUUCCGUUGGCAGGUGAGCCCAUAGGCCCAUUGGAGGAAACCGUGGGCUGGAUGCACAGC